CCUAUAAGCUUCGACCACAAUUGAAAUUAGAUUGGCCAUUAUUGCGAGCAAUUGGCCAAUCGAUUUUAAAUUUGAAUAAAUCAGCCAAAUCUCCAAUUACAUAAUCCACCCAAUUAAAUCAAUAUUGUCCCAUUUUGUAAACUACAAACAGCAGCCCACGUUCUUAAUUUAGCUUACUAGCCUUGCCAACCCAAUAGUUAAGAUCAGCCUUUUCCCCUUUCAGUUGGGCCGUUAGUCCAAAACUUUCAGAUGACCCAACAAUUUUCAAAUGACAGUAAACCCAACCCAUUUCCUCAGCAACCUUUUUAUUUAAUUAUAUUGACCUCCCCAGCCCAACAACAACAUCCAAUUCAUAACCAGGCCUAAUUUCAACAUCCCCACCAGCCCAUUUUUCUCUUUAUUCUUAAACAGGCCUAAAUCAACCACCUGUUACCCGAUCCAGCCCAAUUCCCUUUACCCCCUUUAUCUUCUUUCUCUUCAAACCAAGGGAAAACCAAAAACAGCUGUAAUACUAUGACACCACCACCUUCAUCAACAACACAAGCAACCAACAAUGAUGAAAAACUAAAAUCCAUCAACCCAAUAACCCGACUCCACCAUCCCCAACCAUUUUGUUUGCUCUCUACACACGUAUCACGCGUCAGAAAGACGAGAAAGAAAUCUAAGAAAAAAUCAGUCUCAAAUCGUCUAGAACGAGCCUAGGUGUCACCCCAACUGUUCAAUCCCGUGUUUCUCGAAUAAGAUUGUACAAUUUUGUACAGAGUUGGAUGAUUUUCAUUGGUUCUUGGAAUGAGUCCGUUUUGCCUAAAUGGUAUUAGUCCACCUGUUGCAAAUUUCUCCAAAACAAAAUCCAAAGUUGGUACGUUUUGGGCUAAAAAAUGAGGCUGUGGGAGGAUGGGAUUCUGAAUUCUGAAUUUCUCUUUUUUUAAUCCCUAUAUUACCCCCAAUUCGUCCCAUAUAUAAGGAUCUAUCGGGUCACUGUGAUGGGGGGAUCUUUUUUGAGACGGGCCUCUCCUCCUUCUUUCUAGGUUCACAACCUUAGAGGUAAAGGGAGUCCAACUGGGAGAUUUGGAAAAUUUUGUAGAAGUAUCAAGGGUUUUGGGGUCAAAAAAUUUUAGGGGAAAACUUCUUAAAUUAGGAAAUUGAUAAAGAGGGCUAAGUUCAGAAACCAAGGGGGAAGUUUCCAAAGAAAGGAAACAAAGUUUUUGGUAUAGGUGUCUUUGGUCGACGACUACUUCCAGCUUUUGUGGUCACCGUGUUAAAAUUUCUAGUGGUGUUGAAAUCCUGUCGUCAGCUCGACAACCCAUUUUGAUGCUCCGAAACAGUCCUAAACGGACUCUUUUUGACCUUUGCAUCCUCGCUAUGGGCCCUUGAGGCUCACCUCGUCAAACUAAGCCCAAAAGAAGGUUCAGAAGCCCAUCGUUUGGCGUAUGGAUACGAGAAGACAGAAGUAAAGGAAAUGGAUUAAAGCCCUACAUUUGAAGCGGCUAAGAGACAAAAGUCUCAUUUAUUAUUUCAUUCUAUUUAAUUAUUUUUGCUUUUUUUUAUUUAUUUAUUUUACUUGUUUGUUCAUUUUAUUCAUUCAUUCGGGCCACGAAGCCAAAGUUGUAAAUUGAAUACAGGUGGAGCGAGACUCUAGCUAAAGACUCGAAAAAUAUAAAAUUAGGACAAGUACAAAUGGGUCGAAAGACCAACCAGAUUAGGACAGGGUCAACGGUUUGGGAUUAAAAGCCUAAAUCAUUACUUUCC